AAAAACAUGUCUAUUUGUAGUUAUAAAAAGUCUAGCCUGCCCACUGAUAAUAAAGAUAUUUAAAGGGCCGCAGUAUCUUGACUGUGCAAAGGUAGCAUAAUCGUUAGUUUUUUAAUUGAAAUCUUGUAUGAAUGGCUUGACAAGAAAAAGUCUGUCUUUAUAAUUAUUUAUUGAAUUUAACUUUUAAGUGAAAAGGCUUAAAUAAAUUAAAAAGACGAUAAGACCCUAUAAAAUUUAAUAUUAAUUAAUUAUUUAGUAAAAUUUUGUUAUAUAAACAUUUAAUGAUUGAUUAUUAUUUUGUUGGGGUGAUAAUGGUAAAAUGAUUAUUAACUGUUUAUUGUUUUACUACAAAAAUUGUUGAGUAUAUUUAAUAAAUGAUCCUUGUUGAAGAUUAAGAGUUUAAGUUACUUUAGGGAUAACAGCGUUAUUUUUUUUGAGAGUUCUUAUCGAGAAAAGAGUUUGCGACCUCGAUGUUGAAUUAAAAUAUCUAUAUAAUUGUAGCAGUUAUAUAAGAAGGUCUGUUCGACCU
rnacentral:rRNA from 1 species